rnacentral:rRNA from 1 species
UACGUAGGUGGCAAGCGUUGUCCGGAUUUACUGGGUGUAAAGGGCGUGUAGCCGGGAAGGCAAGUCAGAUGUGAAAUCCACGGGCUUAACUCGUGAACUGCAUUUGAAACUGUUUUUCUUGAGUAUCGGAGAGGCAAUCGGAAUUCCUAGUGUAGCGGUGAAAUGCGUAGAUAUUAGGAGGAACACCAGUGGCGAAGGCGGAUUGCUGGACGACAACUGACGGUGAGGCGCGAAAGCGUGGGGAGCAAACAGG